CAGAACUGCGAGGAAAAAGAGAAAAUAUUUUGUUUAAAAGAACAACUCGUUCAUCAUCCAAAUAAAUGAUUUUUUGAGAAUUUAGUAAAUCGAGCAAAAGCACGAUGCAGGGAUGAAACGGCGGAUAUCUCCAAAGAUACCAUGAAUACUUUGAGUAUUCUGGAUUGCUGCCUAGUUCGUACAGCUGGUUUAAAGCCAGAGUCGCGGACUCCAAAGCACGCGAAUGACUGUAGGCGAAUUGUGCAGAAUUUUUUUUUAAAAGGAACGGAAAAUGCAAGAGAAUUGGGAAUCUGUUUGACAAAUAGGAAACUAAAAGUCGAAUAUGCCGUUCGUGCAUAGUAUUACUAGUUGGAAUAUUCACUUCUAUCAAUUCUUUAAAAAAAUUGGAAAGCUCCCUGUCAAGCUCUAAUAAACGUGUAUAAUUAGGAGCUAUAAUGCCUAGCAAAACUUUCAAACACUUUGAAUAUGCUCGUGAAACCUUCGUGAUAAUGUUAACAAAAGUGGCCUCAGAAAUAAUAACGGAAGAAUCUACAUUAUGAAUUUCAUCAGGUAAAGCAGAGGGAAGACGUGUAUCAUAAUUUCCCUCAACAAUUUGAGGAGGAUAACCAAUAGUUUCAGAAGUUCUAAGAUCCGACAAGACUAUAUUCGCCCACACACGACGUCUAAUCUCGGAAAUUACCGGAUUAAGUCCAUAAAGCGAGCCAUCUCUGUGAAGGCCCAUGCAUAGCGCUACGUGAAGAAUCAAGCCGACUAAGGAAGGUGGAGCGCGAAUGCGGUCAGAAUCAAAGACAACCUAAAUUGAGUUAGUUAAACCCAUUUCAAUAUCACAAACCUGACAAAGAACAAGAGCUUGCAAAGCAUUAAGAUCUGGUUCAAACAGAAAAUUAGACGAAGCCAGUGCGUAGCGAAAAGCUUGAUGAUAAUCUACCUGAAGAUAUCUCUCGUCUUCACCAAGCGCCCAUGUCUUUUGCACUUCAACAGGUGUAGCUAGUAAUGCACUAGCAUAGAUUGCGUAUAAUAAACUAGUAAAAGCUGGUUUUCGCAAGUGCGGUUUUUCCCAAAAAUCAUUAUAUCGUACAUAAAAAGUUGGUCUGUGUAAAACAUUAAUGAGCAUAUGACACCGAAAAAAGAACUGCUCAAUUAAAAUAUCCGAUACUUUUUUGGGGGGUAAAUAGUCGUAUGCAGAUUCAUUGGGGGAUAUUCGAAAAAAAAACGGACUAAUCAGAGAAUCGUUUUCUUCUUGAAUAUCUUGAUCUAAGUUAAGAUAAUGAUAAUUCCUUAAAUGCCAGAGUACGUGUGAAGAGGACGAGUAGUUAGCAUAUUGUGAUUUUGUAUCAUCUAAUACUGAAAGAGAACCAAUGUUUCGCUGUGUCUCAGCAUCUGCCGAAGGCGUGGAAGGAAGAUUAUGAGAUUGUUGGUUUUCAUAAUCAGAUUGCGAUUUAGUGCCGACCUCAUUUAAACGUUUUUCCAGCAUGCUAACUCGGGAUAGUAACUGAUCUAUCAAUUCGUCAGCUUCGCUACCCCGUUCAAAGCGCUUGUCAUAAUUAGUUUUCCCAGGAUCUAUAUAAAUACAUGACUGGAUUGUUGAUCGCUUUAAGCAAUUGGAACAAGGUCUUCCAUGAUCACAUUUAAGUUUUUUUCUUCGACAAGCCAAACACGAAUGGAUCGCCCUACGUGAUGUCUGCCCUGAUUUUUUAGAACCAGACUUGGUUGUUUCACUCAUAUGCUCUUCUUAAACAUCAAGUUAUAUAAUAUUGUGAAAGAUAAAGUACAAUUGAAUGCUAGAUUCUUCUAAUUCUUGA
rnacentral:lncRNA from 1 species